CCGGAUAACCGCUGAAAGCAUCUAAGCGGGAAGCC
rnacentral:rRNA from 1 species